rnacentral:rRNA from 1 species
UACGUAGGGUGCAAGCGUUUAAUCGGAAUUACUGGGCGUAAAGCGUGCGCAGGCGGUUUUGUAAGUCUGACGUGAAAUCCCCCGGGCUCAACCUGGGAAUUGCGUUGGAGACUGCAAGGCUAGAAUCUGGCAGAGGGGGGGUAGAAUUCCACGUGUAGCAGUGAAAUGCGUAGAGAUGUGGAGGAACACCGAAUGGCGAAGGCAGCCCCCUGGGUCAAGAUUGACGCUCAUGC